rnacentral:tRNA from 1 species
AUGGAAAAUUGCAUUUUUGGAAUUUUCAAUAAUGCGAUGGGAGAACGACGGGAAUUGAACCCGCGCAUGGUGGAUUCACAAUCCACUGCCUUGAUCCACUUGGCUACAUCCGCCCCUUAUCCAGCGGUAGACUCAUAUCCUUUCUUCCAUAAUUCAUUAUUCCAUGAAUUCCUCAAAGCGAGGCUCAUCAAAAUGAAAAAUCUAAGACUACUAUAA